UCGUGCUAGGCGGGGAGCUAGCGGUGCCCUGUAGCCCGAGAUCCGCUUAUGCGGGGCUGAAUUCCCCCUGGAGGGCCGCGGUCGGGUCUGCAGGCUCUAAUCCCGGUGCCGAUUGGACACCGCGCAACAGGCGAAUACGAACCCCGUCAGGUCCGGAAGGAAGCAGCGGUAAGUAUCCCCGGCUGUGUCGUGGUUCAAUCUAGUCGCGCACCGGCAGGCGAGCCCAAGAUCACGACGGGUUCAACAGAGGGUGCACGG
rnacentral:SRP_RNA from 1 species